GAUGAACGCUGGCGGCGUGCCUAAUACAUGCAAGUCGAGCGAACAGAUGAGGAGCUUGCUCCUCUGACGUUAGCGGCGGAAGGGUGAGUAACACGUGGAUAACCUACCUAUAAGACUGGGAUAACUUCGGGAAACCGGAGCUAAUACCGGAUAAUAUAUUGAACCGCAUGGUUCAAUAGUGAAAGACGGUUUUGCUGUCACUUAUAGAUGGAUCCGCGCCGCAUUAGCUAGUUGGUAAGGUAACGGCUUACCAAGGCAACGACGCGUAGCCGACCUGAGAGGGUGAUCGGACAGACUGGAACUGAGACACGGUCCAGACUCCGACGGGAGGCAGCAGUAGGGAAUCUUCCGCAAUGGGCGAAAGCCUGACGGAGCAACGCCGCGUGAGUGAUGAAGGUCUUAGGAUCGUAAAACUCUGUUAUUAGGGAAGAACAAAUGUGUAAGUAACUAUGCACGUCUUGACGGUACCUAAUCAGAAAGCCACGGCUAACUACGUG
rnacentral:rRNA from 1 species